ensembl:lncRNA
GGCUCUCCCUGCAUCCCCCCUCUGGGGCUGGCAAUCCCCUCCCUCCAGCUCCAGGGCUGAGCAUCCCUCCUGCCCAAAGUCCCUUCCUCAGGCUGCGGGCAGGCUGCAGGGCAGCAGUUCCCCAGUUCCUCUGCCCGCCGUGCUGCCUGCAGAUCCCCAGCACCGUGCCUGCCUUGGAGGGCAUCCAGCACGCUCACUGCAACCCCAGACAAACAAACAGCAGUUGUGCAAGGGUGCGGGGCAGGCAUCUCCGGCAGGAAACAAAGCGCAGGACUUGCUCUAUUUUAAUCCUGCCAAGGGUCUUCUUGGAAGCGAGGCAGAGCCCGGCUGUGCAGAGUUAAGAAUGAAACCCUAUUUUUAGCCUGUCCCCGGUGAGCCAUCUCCAGGGAAGAACCGAAGCCCAGAUCGGUGUGGUCUCCUGCUGGUGACCUCCAAGCACCCAAAAGUGAAGGAACCACAGAGCAUCUGGGGCUGAGUGAGCAACCUCACUGCAAAACCCAACUGGGAGAGAUGGAGCGAGCGCUGCGGGGACUUCGGGAGGCAUGUCUGCAGGUAUCCGAGCACUGCUGCUUUUCAAAGCCAAAGGACUGCUGUUAAUAUUCAUGGGAAGGAAGAUGAAAAGGCACUGGAGGAGGGAGCGCGUGGCGGGGUACCGAGGAAGUCCCAGCAUGUUUUAUCCUGUGCUUGCAGCAGAGAGAGGAAGGCUCGCGGUCCGAGUGCAGCUGCUCUGUGCUAUAGAUUGCACUCCCAGAUUGUCUUCCUGCCAGCUGCCCCCAACGCCAAACCGAAGGCUCCAGUGGGAAGAAGUGCUAAUUUAAGGAGCUCUCUCUGAAGCAAAGGCUCUUCACCCAGGAAGCCCAGCACAGCUCAAAUUAGCUUUGCUGCUGGCAACCUCAGCUGUAAAGCCAUGGUCUGAAACAGAAACACCUCCAGUCGGGAUCUCUCCUCAAUAAAAACUUAAUUUGCUGCUGCUUUGCCAUUCCCUUGCAAUGAUUUCAGAGGCCCCUGUGUAUGGAUCUGUCAAGAAGCAAAAUGCCAAGACAAAUUUAAAAGCAGCUUUAAAAUUACCUUGAAUCUAUACCGUUUGAUUGCUUUGCUGAUAAGAAAAACACUGAAUGAUUCCUAUCAGGAAAUCAAAAAACCAAUCAGAUUUCAGCUGUCUUCUCGGAGAGGCGCAGCGCAUCGGGGUUAGGAGCGAUGCAGCAGAAAUACCCUUCCAGGGGUCUUCCUGGUGACACACUGCAGGGGAGGGUGAGCCGGCCAAGAAUUCUCCUCCAGCUAUUUGUGGGUUUGUGCCACUGCGCUGCAAUAGUCCUCAGCUGCUUCUGUGUAUUUCUAAAGCUUCCCUCAGCUGUGUGUGUGAAAGCUGAGCACGAAACCCACCCAUCGGUUUGGCAUUUGGCUUCACCUGUCUCAGUGCGUCUGUACCACUGGAGCACACUUUCUCCCUUAUGCAGAGCCUAUUGGUGGCUCUCAUCAGGCCAGACCCCAAAGAUGCCCUCAGUGAAACCUCCACUGGAACCAUCUUCCAUUGGAAGCAUUUUUCCUCUCCUAGAAACUGGCUGAAGAAAAGCUGUUCGGGUAUAUCUAAGCGCACAGUAAGAUUUCUCCUGAAGAAAUCAAGAUCAAAGCUCACACAAUUAGGAACAAACUAAAAGCAAAGGCACCUUUACUAAAGCUCAUUAAAAAUAUCCUUUGUGCCGAUCUCCUGUGUGGCACCCAAAGUCUCAUG